UGCUUGUUACUGAAUUUUAGUAAUUUACCUGCCAAAAAGUGGUUGAAUGUUGAUGUGAGAUAAGGAUGUACAAAAGAAUGAAAAUGGAAAAGUUCCAUGAGACUAGUUCAGGGUUCACAUGAGGUGAAGCCAUUUUUUGAUAAAUGGCUUGUUUGGGUGUUGAAAUUUAGGGUUUUUGAUUGAUUUUUGGACCUGGAGGAUCAUAGAAAAUUGACUGAUCUUCAACACAAGCUAUUAAUUAGAGUAUUGAUCAUGGGAUCAUUGGGCAAUAGCCCCCAAACUACACAUUAUUUCCAUCCAUAACUAAUAACAUGCCCAUUUUCAGAUCUUAGAACCCAAAGAAAAAACUAGUUUUAUUUUAACAGAAAGGAAGAAAGAUGCUGUUCUAAUGUAAAAUUGGAUCAGUGGAUAAAAGGCUAUACAUAGCAAAAUCAAUAGUUUCUUCAUUGAUACAGAGAUAUUUUCUGAGGACACCUUCCUUGAGGAACCCAGCCUUUUCCAAUACCCUCUGUGAGGCCUUAUUAUUCACAUCAACAAUACCUUCAGUUCUCUCCAGAUCUGGGAACUCUUCAAACGCACUUGAAACAGCCCUUUUCACGGCCAGUGUGGUUAUGCCUCAGCCCCAGUACAUUGAUCCAAGAGCAUAGCUGAUCGUUCCCCGGCAUUUCCCCAUGGAAGAACCUGGCAUAAUGGAAAUGAAUCCAAUUGGGCGGCCACCCAAGCAUAUGGCUCGGUACCAUGGGUGGGGUAUGGCAUCCUCCUUCAGAUAGUUCGAUGCAUCGUCCUUAGAGGAGUGGUGCCUCAGUCUGCAACUUCUGGUCACCUUAUUGUCACAGGCCCAUUCCAUGAGUCACAUCUACAUCUGCAAGCUGAUAUGGACGCAGAGUGAUUUCCAUCAACCGAUCAAAUGUCGUUGAUGAUUGGGCUAGGUUGGAGGUCUAUCCAGAUGUGGUGUGAAGAGGAAAGGGAUAAUGUGGUGGGAAGAGAAAAGGGAUUUACAUAUAUAUAUGUAUGAUUAGUACGAAAAUACAUAUAUUUUGAUACAUAAGGGGCAUAAGAAGAUCUUUCAAUACGUCAAUUUGAAAAAUAGAGCAUGAAAACUAAAAUUAUCUUUACUUUAAAUGGCUUGAGAAGUGGAGAAAUUUAAAGACAAAGUAAGGAAUAUCUAUAGAAAUAAAAAACUUUUUUUUUUUUUUUUUUUUUACUGAUGACAUAAAAUUACCUAAUGAAUUUUCUCUUUUAUGUGAGAUAAAAUGUGUCAUUACUAAAUGUAUCAUCACCUCGUUUAUGCACUAGCCAAGAUCGAUGAUAAUGCAUUUGCACGUCUUAUACAAAAAUACACAUGAAAAGACAUGAGAAAAAAAGAAAGUCAAAAUUAGCACUAAGAACUAUAAAAAUGCAAGAUAUACAUAUUGGAUAUAUGUAGUUUUAGUUUCAAUAAGGUCAUCUACUAGUGGUUCAUUUACACCUAGAAAUAUUUUAUCUCGACACAUAUCAAAAGCUUCAAACUAAGAAAGCAAAUCCAUUUUGAGUGCUAAGGAUUGGGUGAGAAUUUCUAAUUUUCCAAAGCUUUCUUCAAGAUUGCAUUUUAGUCUAAUAUUUAAUAUGGAAAAUUUAUUUGUCUACCAUGGUCAUCAAGAUAAGUAAGGGUAGAAUUAGAUCUUUAAUUGCCAUGCCACCUAAUCCUAUCCCCAAGUCCUAAGAUUGAGUAUCUUUUUAAUGAUCAACUUGUGUCUACUUUACGUAAGGUGAUAUAAAAAACUUAUGGUAAAAUGGCAAGGCAAAUCACAUCAUGAAAAAUGCAUAGAUUACAAUAAUGGAUUUUCAUAAGCUUAACCUAAUUUCUAUUUAUUAUAUCAAGGAUCUAACUUGUUAAAGUCGUGUUCUCUAAGUUAGAGAGAAUUGAUGGGAUAAAGCCUUUUAAAGUAUAUUUAAGAAAGGAAAUAAAUAAAUAAACUUUAAGUAAGAUUAAUGUUAGUUGAAAUUAAAAUAGGAUCAAUAUUUGUUAGAAUAUUUAAAAUAGUAGUAGCUAAUUAUUAAAGUCAUGAUAGGUAAUUAGAAUUUUAGUAGAAUUUGGGUUUCUUAAAGAAGCUUAUAAAUAAGGUUAAUUGAUGUAAAAUCAAGAUAUUGCAAGUGUUACAAUUCUCAAUGAUCCGACUCCAUUUUUUUUUCUUCUAGAUAACAUUCCUAGAGGACCUUAGUGAGAUUCUAAAGCUUAGUUUGAGAAGUGUUUUAAAAAAACAAAUUGUGAAAAACAAUUUUUGAGAAUAAUUUUUUAAAACCGCUUUUGAAAAAUAUUCUUUGAUAUUUUGUAAAAUAAAAGUUUGUUUAAGAACCUGAGUUUUCUAUGUUUUUAAAUAUGUCUAAAUAAUAACUUUUGUGUGUAAUGCUUUAUUUUUAAUCAUUCUCCAAAUUUGUAUAAUUGUUUUUCAAAAUAACAUUAGAAAAUAAGUAAAAGAAAAAAAAAAUAACUAAAAGAUAUUAUCUAAAAACACUAUAUUUUUUGUUUUUAAGAAUAUAAAAUUAUUUUUUAUUUUUAAGCACAAAAAUCAUUUAAAAAAAAGUGUAUUUUUAUUUUUUAUUUUCAAAUGUAUUUUUUUAAGGAUAAAAAAUUCUUUUUAAAAAUAAUUCCCAAACAGACUAAGAUUUCUAUCUUUUAUUUCCUUUUAUCUUAUUUCUUCAUAUUUUUAUUUUAUCAUCACUAUCAUAAACUUUAUCCCUUAUUCCUCUCAUUAAACCCUAAGACUCUGUUUGGUUGGCAUUUGACAAGAUAUGAUACGAUAAAACAUGUAUAUCUUAAGAUAUUAUAUCACAUUAAAUAAGAAGUAUAUAUUAUAGGAUAUUAUUUUCAAUGGAAUAUGAUAUCCUUGAAUAUACAUAUUUUAUGAAAAUGAUAUUUUAAGGUCGUAUAUCUAAUUAAAUAUGUUAUAUUAUAUUAUAUUUAUGUUUAAUUUAUUAAAUGAAUAAAAACUAAUAUGAUGUAAUUUUCAUUUUAAACAUUAAAAAUAAUUUAUAUUUCAUAUUAUUAUUUUCAUUUCACAAAUUAAAUAUACACAUAAUAUAACAUAGUAUAUCCCAUUGGAUAUGUUAUCUUAAAAUAUCAUAUUCAUAAGAUAUGUGUAUUAAAAAAAAUAUCAUAUCCCAUUGAAAAUAAUAUUUUAAGAUAUACAUAUUCUAUCCUAUCUUAUCAACUAAAUGUAAUCUAAGGUUAUAUUUAAUUGACUAGAUAUAAUGUUGAGAUAAGAUGAUGAGAUACAAUUUAAACUCUAGGGUCAUGUUUGGUUGAAUGGAUAUAAUAUGAGAUAUGAUAAAAGAAGUAUAUUAUAUUUUAUCUUAUGUUUAAUCAAAUAUGAGAUAUGAUAAGUAGAAUGAUAUAUUAACCCAUUUUUUUUAUAUCACUUCUACAUAGAAUAUGUUGAUCUUAUACUAAGAUAUAGGAUAUACAUAUCUCAUAUAUCAUAACUUUAGUUUUUCUAGUCAAAUUUUUAUUUUUUUUAUAAACUCAUUUAGCAAAAUAAUUUUUUAUUAUAAAUUAAAUUUAUGAUUAAAAAAGAAUACUAAUAUAUAUGUAUAUGUAUAUGUAUAUGUAUAUGUAUAUAUUAAAUAACAUAAUAUAAAAAAAAAUUUACUUGUAAAAUUUAAAUAUUUUAAUAAUGAAUAUUGUUAAGAGAUAAGAGAAAUUCCAAUUCUUAAAUAGAAAAUAUUGAAAUGUAAUAUAAAUUUUAUUUUAAAAUUGAAAAACAAUAUAUAUUUUAUGUUAAUUUUUAUUUAUUUCACAAAUUAAAUAUAAGUAUAAUAUAACCUAAUAUAUUCCAUUGAAUAUAUUACCUUAGGAUAUUAUAUGAUAUACAUAUCUUAGGAUAUGUAUUUCAUUUUUUAUCCAAUAAGAUAUAAUAUUUUAUGAUAUACAUCUUAUUAACAAAAUAUGGUCUAAUAUUAUGUUUGGUUGACUACACUUAUUUUAUCCUAUGUUCAAUUAAAUAUGAAAUAGAAUAAGUGGUGAAAUUAAUUAUCUAUUCUCUUAUUUAUAUCACUUGAUAUUUUAAUAUUAAGCUAACAUAUAGGAUAUACAUAAAUUUAUUUAUUUAUAUUACUUUUUAACUUUUUUAUAUUACUUAUUUUUUAAAAUAAUUUUUAUUAUAAAAUUAAAUAGAAAAUAUUGUAAUAUAAUAAAAAUUUUAUUUUAAACAUCUUAUAUUUAGUUAUUUUGAAAAUCUCAAAAUUUAGAAGAGAAAUUAUCGAAUUUUAAAAAAAAAAUUUAAGGAUUUUUUGCUAUAAAAAAUUAUAAAAUUUAUUCCUUUAUAUUUUAUUUAUUUAUUUUUAUAAAAUCUAAAACUUUAUUUCAAUGUCCUUAAUGUUUUAGUUGUUUAAUUUUAAAUAUUUUUAUAAUUAAUAUUAAAAAUUACUUAAACAUUACAAUUUAUAGUGUGACUAUCGUAUAUUAUUUGAGUUAAUCUCGCUAAUAUCAUUUAACGUUUAGUAUAAAUAUAUUAAGCCAACAUCAAUUUUCAAAUUUCAUCUAUUAACACUCCUACAAAUAUAUUUGAUAUAUCAAAUUUCCUUUUUAGAAAAUUGUUAAAUAUACAUUCUUAAAAUCUUUUUACCUAAAAUUUAUUUAAAAACUAAAUUUUAUAAAUAUAAUAAAUUUAUAAGAAUACUAAUUGAUGAAAUUUAAAUCAAUAAUAAAUAAAUGUAUUUACAUCAAACCUCUUUAGGUUAUGCCAUUGGCUAUCCUAAUUGAGAAAACUACUUCUAACUUUCAAAAUUUAUAAGAGUAUGUGAUUGAUCUCAUCUUUAGAAUGAAAGAUACUAUGCCUUUUGAGUGGUUGAAAAAUAGAUUUGUUGAAUUCCUCCGAUUAAUGAAAAUUUCAAAUUAAAUUUUAACGAUUCAAGGGUACAGAAUAGUAAGUGCAUCAUGAUGGGUUAUUAGAGAUUUUAACGGUAUAAUAAAAAUAGUUGCAAGUAGGCAUAUGAACAAUGCGUCAAUAAUUAUUACAUAAUUUAUGACUUUUAAAAAUGGUGUAUUAGUUGCUAAGUUUUUAAAUCUAAAGACGGAAGGUGAUUUAAUAAAAGUAGUGACAAAUAGUUAUAACAAGAAAAGUAAUAUUUCUAACUCUAUUAUAUUGUUAAUAGAAGAUGUUUGGAAGAUAAUGCAAGACCUUAAUGUUUUUAUUUGUGGUUAUAUUUAUAAAGAAGUAAAUAAAACAACGGAUUGUUUAGUUAAAAAAAAAUAUCUGUAAUUUAGAGUGGUCAGAUUUUUUUUAUAGAUGUUAUAAAGUUUGGCUUUGAAGAUUGAUUUUUGAUUGAUUUUCACAGGAGACAUUAAUGACUUGUUUGGGUGUUGAAAUUUAGGGUUUUUGAUUGAUUUUUGGACAUUGAGGAUCAUAGAAAAUUGACUGAUCUUCAACAAAAGCUAUUAAUUAGAGUAUUGAUCAUAGGAUCAUAGACAAGUGAUAUCAAACCUUUGAAUAGCCCCAAAACUACACAUUAUUUCCAUCAGUAACUAAUAACAGGCCCAUUUUCAGAUCUUAGAACCCAAACAAAAUACUAGUCUUAUUUCAACAGCAAAGAAGAAAGAUGCUGUUCUAAUGCAAAAUUGGGUCAGUUGAUAAAAGGAUAUACAUAGCAACAUCAAUAGUUUCCCCUUUGACAAUGAGAUAUUUCCUAAGAACACCUUCCUUGAGGAACCCAGCCUUCUCCAAUACCCUAUGUGAGGCCUUAUUAUUCACAUCAACCAUACCUUCAAUUCUUUCCAGAUCCGGGAACUCCUGAAACGCACUUGAAACAGCCAUUUUCACGGCCAGUGUGGUUAUGCAUGGCACUUUCCCACCCAACUGCUCCAUCAGGUAAUUAAAAAAUUAAGUGUCAUUUUUCUAUGUAUCAUGACCAUCAAAAUAUUUGGAUGCGGGGCUCAGAGGGUAUUGCAGAAGACGUUCUUAUUUAAUCAUCUAUUUUUUAUUUUGUAAAUGUAAUACAUUGGUUCAAUAGAAACACGACCUAAUUAUGAAACAUGUAACACGCCAUGAGCUCCCCACAUGAGUGUGGCUUGUGGGCCAAGCAUCUCAUCUCUGAAAUCGUCCACUAAGGCGGCUAUGAUCUUCGGUUGCCCUGCUUGUAAAUCAACGUUCUUGCUGACCACUCAACCUCACGCAUGGUUCUUUAGAAUGGACCUUCUUUCUUAUCCAAUUUCAAGGCAACUUCUCUUCCUCUCCUGGAAAACUUUUCCUAUAUAAAUGCCAUAGAUUCAACAGCUUGAGACCACACCUCAUCUCUUCUUUGCCUUUCAUCAAAGCUUGACUACUUCAAUCGACUUUAGCGAAGGCUUACACAUGGAAGCGGAUGGAAAACAAGGCCAGGAGGGAUCCCCAGAGCUUUCCCUUCGGCCGCUGGAUCUUUCUGACAUAGAUGAUUUCAUGGUCUGGGCCACAGAUGACAAGGUGAGUCGUUUCUGCACUUGGGACACUUACACUUCCAAGGAAGCUGGCAUCGACUACAUCAAAAACAUCGUCAUUCCUCACCCAUGGUUCAAAGCAAUUUGCCUUGACAAUAAGGCGAUCGGGGCUAUUUCAGUGUCCGCAAACAAUGGCAACGAUCGAUGUAGAGGUGAACUUGGGUAUGCGCUAGCUUCCAAGUACUGGGGAAAGGGGAUUGUGACCAGGGCCGUGAAAAUGGUGGCUUCUACUAUAUUUAAUGAGUGGCCACAUUUGGAGAGACUGGAGGCGCUGGUGGAUGUGGAGAAUGGUGGGUCGCAGAGGGUGCUAGAGAAGGUUGGGUUCCAGAGAGAAGGUGUUCUUAGGAAGUUCGUUAUUCUGAAGGGCAGAUGUAGAGAUCUGGUGAUUUAUAGUCUCCUGUCUACUGAUCCCCAACCUUGAUUCUGUGUAUUUCAUGAUUUAUGUUUGUGCGAAUUCUACAUGGACAAUGUGGUUGAUUGAUGCUUUUUAUGCUUGUUACUGAAUUUUAGUAAUUUACCUGCCAAAAAUUGGUUGACUGUUGAUGUGAGAAAAUGGAAAAGUUCCAUUUGACUAGCUCCGGGUUCACAUGAGGUGAAGCCAUUUUUUGAUAAAUGGCUUGUUUGGGUGUUGAAAUUUAGGGUUUUUGAUUGAUUUUUGGACCUGGAGGAUCAUAGAAAAUUGACUGAUCUUCAACACAAGCUAUUAAUUAGAGUAUUGAUCAUGGGAUCAUUGGGCAACAACUGAUAUCAAGACUUUGAAUAGCCCCCAAACUACACAUUAUUUCCAUCCAUAACUAAUAACAUGCCCAUUUUCAGAUCUUAGAACCCAAAGAAAAAACUAGUCUUAUUUCAACAGAAAGGAAGAAAGAUGCUGAUCGUUCCCCGGCAUUUCCCCAUGGAAGAACCUGACAUAAUGGAAAUGAAUCCAAUUGGGCGGCCACCCAAGCAUAUGGCUCGGUACCAAUGGGUGGGGUAUGGCAUCCUCCUUCAGAUAGUACAAUGUAUCGUCCUUAGAGGAGUGGUGCCUCAGUCUGCAACUUCUGGUCACCUUAUUGUCACAGGCCCAUUCCAUGAAGACAUCUACAUCUGCAAGCUGAUAUGGACGCAGAGUGAAUUCCAUCGACCGAUCAAAUGUCGUUGAUGAUUGGGCUAGGUUGGAGGUCUAUCCAGAUGUGGUGUGAAGAGGUAAGGGAUAAUGUGGUGGGAAGAGAAAAGGGAUUUACAUAUAUAUAUAUAUAUAUGAUUACUAUGAAAAUACAUAUAUUUUGAUACAUAAGGGGCAUAAAAAGAUCUUUCGAUACGUCAAUUUGAAAAAUAGAGCAUGAAAACUAAAAUUAUCUUUAAAUACAAACUUUUUUUUUAAACUAAAAUUAUUUUUAAAUACAAACUUUUUUUUUUUUUUAAAUUUGAUGACAUAAAAUUACCUAAUGAAUUUUCUCUUUUAUGUGAGAUACAAUGUGUCAUUACUAAAUGUACCAUCACCUCGUUUUUGCACUUGCCAAGAUCGAUGGUAAUGCAUUUGCAUGUCUUAUACCAAAAUACACAUGAAAAGACAUGAGGAAAAAAGAAAAUCAAAAUUAGCACUAAGAACUAUAAAAAUGCAACAUAUACAUAUUGGAUAUAUGUAGUUUUAGUUUCAAUAAGGUCAUCUACUAUUGGUUCAUUUACACCUAGAAAUAUUUUAUCUCGACACAUAUCAAAAGCUUCAAACUAAGAAAGCAAAUCCAUUUUGACUGCUAAGGAUUGGGUGAGAAUAUUUUCCAAAGUUUUCUUCAAGAUUGCAUUUUAGUCUAAUAUUUAAUAUGGAAAAUUUAUUUGUCUACCAUGGUCAUCAAGAUAAGUAAGGGUAGAAUUAGAUCUUUAAUUGCCAUGCCACCUAAUCCUAUCCCCAGGUCGUAAGACUGAGUAUCUUUUUUAUAAUCAACUUGUGUCUACUUUACGUAAGGUGAUAUAAAAAACUUAUGGUAAAAUGACAAGGCAAAUCACAUCAUGAAAAAUGCAUAGAUUACAAGAAUGAAUUUUCAUAAGCUUAACCUAAUUUCUAUUUAUUAUAUCAAGGAUCUAACUUGUUAAAGUUGUGUUCUCUAAGUUAGAGAGAAUUGAUGGGAUAACACCUUUUAAAGUAUAUUUAAGAAAGGAAAUAAAUAAAUAAACUUUAAGUAAGAUUAACGUUAGUUGAAAUUAAAAUAGGAUUAGUAUUUGCUGGAGUAUUUAGAAUAGUAGUAGCUAAUUAUUAAAGUCAUGAUAGGUAAUUAGAAUUUUAGUAGAAUUUGGAUUUUUUAAAGAAGCUUAUAAAUAAGGUUAAUUGAUGUAAAAUCAAGAUAUUGCAAGUGUUACAAUUCUCAAUGAUCCUGACUCUAUUUUUUUUUCUUCUUCUAGAUAACAUUCCUAGAGGAUCUUAGUGAGAUUCUAAAGCUUAGUUUGAGAAGUGUUUUAAAAAACAAAUUGUGAAAAACAAUUUUUGAGAAUAAUUUUUUUAAAACCGCUUUUGAAAACUAUUCUUUGAUAUUUUGUAAAAUAAAAGUCUGUUUAAGUACCUAAGUUUUCUAUGUUUUUAAAUAUGUCUAAAUAAUAACUUUUGUGUGUAAUGCUUUAUUUUAAUCAUUCUCUAAAUUUGUAUAAUUGUUUUUCAAAAUAACCCUUAGAAAAAAAAUAACUAAAAGAUAUUAUCUAAAAACACUAUAUUUUUUUAUUUUUAAGAAUAUAAAAUUAUUUUUUAUUUUGAAGCACAAAAAAUCAUUUUUAAAAAAAAUAGAUUUUUUAUAUUUUUAUUUUCAAAUGUAUUUUUUAAGAGAAAUUAUUGAAUUUUAAAAAAAAAUUUAAGGAUUUUUUGCUAUAAAAAUGAUAAAAUUUCUAAUAAUUUUUCUUAUUAUUAUUUUUAAUUCUUUUUGUUAGCCCAAGGGUUCUCCUAAUCGGGUUUUGAUGAUAACAAACCAUGAUUAAGUAACUAAUUGGUUUAAUGCUUAAGAAUCUCAGGUAUAAACUCGAAAAUUCAUCAAAGGACCAAAUGGAUACAAGAUCGAGAUGCUUGGAAGACUUGAGAUCAUAGGAAACUAAUGUAAGAUGAAUGUAUGAGUGCACUUAGGAUUUUCAGACAUUUUCAUGCAUCUUAGAAAACUCGGUUUAUUCUUUAAAACGUCGACUUCAUUAAAACCUGAGUUUUUAACUAAUUUACCUUAGGCAAAAUGUUUCAAAAUUGGUUUAAUAAUUUACCUAAAGACCUUGCCUAAGUGUUAGAAAAGAAAGGAAUCAAAAAAUAGGUUUCUCGGGGCCAAAAAGGCUCAACCGAUCGAGGCUAUGGCCAACCGGUCAACCAGUUGAGGAACCGGUCGACCGGUUUAGGUUGUCCGGUCGAUGACCGGUCGAGGAAGGUUAAAAACCUUCUCUCUCUCCCAGCAGCCUUCUCUUCUCGGUCGAGGUUCGGGCGAGGUAACGGUAACCUGUCAUGCAUUAAAUGCUCCAACGGUUAGUGAACCGAUCGACCCCUAGCUCAACCAGGCGAGGUUGCCUUUUGCUGAUUUUGACUCCCGAGCUUAGAAACCUAUAAAUUGAGAGCUCCACUUCAUUUAUUGAUAAGAGAACACUUGCAUUCAAAGCCCACCUACCUGUUCUUGAUCAAAAAGCUCUCAUUUCUCUAAGUGCAUUAAAUCACCACUUGCAUAUCCUCUAGUGCACUCUUGUUGUCAUCCUAGCUUUGCCUUGUAUUUAAGCCAUCUUUAAGCUAGGUUGAGUGAGUAUAUUUUGUAACAAUCUGAGUGUUAAAGCCUUCAAGAGGGUUGAAUCUUGAAGAAGUUGUGUAAGAGCCCAUUGGAGCCGGAAUCUAAGUGUAAGAAGAUUGGAAGCUUGGUUGAAGCUUCAAGUUAGUGGAACUCUCACUCGGUUAGGAGGUUGAGGAGAGUGGACGUAGGCAAGGAAGUGCCGAACCACUAUAAACCCAAGUUUGAAUUCUCUCAACUCUAUCUCUUUACUUUGCUUAUAUUUUGCUUAAUUUUGUUGUGAUUGAAAAGAUUUUAAAAACCCAAUUCACCCCCCCCCCCCCCUCCUUUUGGGUGUUUUUCUUAACUAAACAUAGCCUUUGUUUUCUCAAUUGGUAUCAGAGCUAGACCUCUUCUUUUAAGACUUAAUCGUCAAAGAGGAAAUAACUAUUCCAUCAAGCUCAUCCCAAGCUGAAAUUUUUUCAAAACAUAGAGCUCCAUUCUUUACGGGAACCGACUAUCCCUAUUGGAAAACUAGAAUGACUUGGUAUUUGCAAUCUACUGAUUUAGAUGUAUGGGAUGUCAUUGAAGAUGACCCAACCUUUCCCACUAAACUAUGGAUGGUGUUUUGGUUCCAAAACCCAAACAAGAAUGGAAUGAGCUUGAUAGAAGAAACUUUCAAUUAAAUGUCAAAGUCGUUUUUACUUUGCAAUGUGCUAUGGAUAGAAAUGAAUAUAAUAGAAUAUGUCAAUGCAAAUCGGCCAAAGAAAUUUGGAGGUUGAUUGAAAUAACUCAUGAAGGAACUAAUCAAGUGAAAGAGUCAAAAAUCAAUUUACUUGUUCAUAAUUAUGAAUUGUUUUCAAUGAAAGAAACUGAGACUAUUGUUGAGAUGAUUACUAGGUUCACCGACAUUGUCAAUGGUUUUGAAGCUUUGGGAAAAACCUACAAGGAAUCCGAGAAGGUGAUGAAGAUAUUGAGGUCUCUCUCAUCUAAGUGGCAUACCAAGGUCACCGCAAUUCAAGAAGCAAAAGACUUGACUAAGCUACCUAUGGAAGAGCUCAUAGGGUCAUUAAUGACAUAUGAGAUCAAUUUGACAAAGAAGCUACAAGAGGGUGAAGACAAAAAGAAGAAGAGCAUAGCCCUUAAAGCUACAACCAAGGAAGAAGAAGAUGUUGAAGAAGAAAAGCCAAGUGAUGAAGAUGAUGAUCUAGCCCUCAUCACAAGAAAGCUCAAUAAAUUCACGAGAGAUGAAAGGUUUAGAGGAAGGAAAUUCACCUCUAGAAGGGAUUCCUCUAGAAGGGAUUCUUCAUCCCAUGGUGACAAGGAGAAAUGAGAAGAGAAAAGAGAAUUGACAUGCUUCAAGUGCAAAAAGCCGGGACACAUCAAAUAUGAUUGUCCUCUCUACAAGAGUGAAGCCAAGAGAAGAAUAAAGAAGGCAAUGAUGGCCACUUGGAGUGAAAGUGAAGAAUCCUCCGAAGAAGAAAAUGAGAAAGAAGUGGCAAACAUGUGCUUCAUGGCAAUAGAUGAUCUUGAUGAGGUAAACUCUAACUUUAGUGAUGAAGAUAUGCAUGAUGUUUUUGAAUAAUUAUAUGAGGAUUUUGAAAAACUUAGUUUGAAAAAUAAUUCUCUUAAAAAGAAAAUUCAAGAUCUAGAAAAGGAACUUGAAGAAGUGAAAGAAAAGUUUUCAAUUGAUGAAUUAUCUAAAACUCAUCUUGAAAAUGAAAAUGAGAUUUUGAAAAAGAAAAAUGAAUGGUUAACCUCAUCUCUUUCAAUUUUCUCUUGUAGACAAAAAUAUUUUGAAAUGAUCUUAGCUAGCCAAAAAUGUGUCUUUGAAAAAUAAGGGUUAGGAUUCAAAUCGUCAAAAAAUCAAAAGUAUUUUAAAAACUACUUUGUAAAAGAAUCCGCAAGUGCAAGUUCUUCCACCACUUGCAACUUUUGUGGAAGAGGAGGACAUAUUACUAGUACAUGUCCCUUAAGAAAUGGUACUCAGAAGAUUUCUAAUGCUAAAACUAAAAAGGUUUGAGUUGAAAAAUCCAAGGUCACUAACCCUCAAGGACCCAAAAAGAUAUGGGUACCUAAAUCAACUUGAAUUUUAUUUUGUAGAGAUCAAUGAAGGAUAAGUGGUUCUUGGAUAGUGGAUGCUCAAGGCACAUAACCGGGAAUGAAUCCAAGUUCGCUUUCCUUACAAAAAGAAAGGGAGGAUACGUUACCUUUGGAGACAAUUCAAAAGGAAGGAUCAUUGGUCAAAGCAACAUUGGUAAUGGCACAUCCUUUCUUAUUGAAAGUGUUUUAUUAGUUGAUGGUUUAAAACAUAAUCUUUUGAGCAUAAGUCAACUUUGUGACAAAGGUUUUAAAGUGAUUUUUGAAGCAUCUCAUUGCAUCAUCAAAGAUAUUCAAAAUGAUAAAACCAUCUUCAUGGGUCAUAGAUGUAAUAAUGUUUAUGCAAUAAAUAUUUCAAAAUAUGAUGGCCAUGAUAGAUGCUUUUCAAGCAUGCAUGAUCAAAGUUGGUUGUAGCAUAGGAGGUUGGGACAUGUUAACAUGGACCUCAUUUCCCAACUCAACAAAGAUGAACUUGUUAGAGGCCUUCCCAAAAUAAAUUUUCAAAAAGACAAAGUUUGUGAAGCUUGUCAAAUGGGAAAGCAAAUCAAAAACUCUUUUAAAAACAAAAAUUUCAUUUCAACAACUAGACCUCUUGAAUUGUUGCAUAUGAAUUUAUUUGGUCCCUCUAUGACACCAAGCCUUGGAGGAAAAUCUUAUACUUUUGUUAUUGUGGAUGACUUCUCUAGAUACACUUGGGUCUUAUUUUUAAGUCAAAAGAAUGAAGCCUUUUAUGAGUUUUCAAAGUUUUGCAACAAGGUUCAAAAUGAAAAAGGUUUUACAAUUACUUGUAUAAGAAGUGAUCAUGGGAGAGAAUUUGAAAAUAUUGAUUUUGAAUACUAUUGCAAUAAGUAUGGUAUUAACCACAACUUUUCGGCUCCUAGAACCCCUCAACAAAAUGGGGUAGUUGAAAGGAAAAAUAGAUAUCUUCAAGAAAUGGCUAGAACCAUGCUAAAUGAAAACAAUUUACAUAAAUAAUUUUGGGUCGAAGCCGUUAACACUUCUUGUUAUGUUUUAAAUAGAAUUUUAUUAAGGCCUAUUCUUAAGAAAACUCUCUAUGAGCUUUGGAAAAACAAGAAACCCAACAUUAGCUAUUUCAAAGUCUUUGGGUGCAAAUACUUUAUAUUAAACACCAAAGACAAUCUUGGAAAAUUUGAUGCAAAAUCGGAUGUUGGAAUUUUUCUUGGUUACUCAACUUCAAGUAAAGCUUUUAGAGUUUUUAACAAAAGAACCAUGGUAGUUGAGGAGUCCAUCCAUGUUAUUUUUUAUGAAUCUAACAAUUUUCUCCAAGAAAGAGAGAGCUUUGAUGAUGAUUUAGGCUUGGAGACCUCCAUGGGAAAAUUACAAAUUGAAGAUAGAAGGCAACAAGAAGAAGUUGUAGAAGAUACCAAGAAAGAGGAAUCACCUUUGGCACUACCUCCUCCUCAACAAGUGCAAGGUGAAUCAAGUCAAGACCUCCCUAAAGAUUGGAAGUUUGUCAUCAACCACCCACAAGAUCAAAUUAUAGGUAAUCUAUCAGUGGGGUAAGAACUAGAUCAUCCCUUAGAAAUAUUUGCAAUAAUAUUACUUUUAUCUCUCAAAUUGAACCUAAAAAUAUAAAAGAUGCUCUAGUUGAUGAAAAUUGGAUGAUUGUCAUGCAAGAAGAGUUAAACCAAUUUGAAAGAAGUGAAGUAUGGGAAUUAGUGCCAAUACCUCAAAAUCAAAGUGUUAUUGGAACUAGAUGGGUCUUUAGAAACAAAAUGGAUGAAAACGACAUAAUUAUAAGGAAUAAAGCAAGAUUGGUAGCCCAAGGUUUUAAUCAAGAAGAAUAGAUAGAUUAUGAAGAAACCUUUGUUCCCGUAACUAGAUUGGAAGCCAUUAGGAUGCUACUUGCCUUUACAUGUUUUAAAGACUUUGUUUUAUAUCAAAUGGAUGUGAAAAGUGCUUUCUUAAAUGACUUUAUAAAUGAAGAGGUAUAUGUUGAAAAACCACCCGGUUUUCAAAGUUUUAACUUUCCUAAUCAUGUUUUUAGACUUAAAAAGGCACUUUAUGGUUUGAAAUAAGCACCUAGAGCAUGGUAUGAAAGAUUGAGUAAAUUUCUUUUGAAAAAGGGUUUUAAAAUGGGAAAAAUUGACACAACUCUUUUCAUAAAAACCAAAGAUAAUGACAUGCUCUUAGUACAAAUAUACGUUGAUGAUAUCAUUUUUGGAGCUACUAAUGUUUCUCUUUGUGAAGAAUUCUCUAAAUGCAUGCAUAGUGAGUUCGAAAUGAGCAUGAUGGGAGAACUUAACUUCUUUCUUGGACUUCAAAUCAAGCAACUAAAGGAAGGAACCUUCAUUAAUCAAGCCAAGUAUAUAAGGGAUCUCCUCAAAAGGUUCAAUAUGGAGGAAGCCAAAACAAUGAAGACUCCAAUGAGUUCAUCCAUCAAGCUUGACAUGGAUGAGAAAGGUAAGCCCGUCAACUCAACUAUGUAUAGAGACAUGAUAGGUUCUUUGCUAUACUUGACCGCUAGUAGACCCGACAUCAUGUAUAGUGUAUGCUUGUGUGCUAGAUUUCAAUCUUGCCCUAAGGAAUCUCAUUUAAGUGCUGUAAAACGAAUUCUUAAAUAUUUAAAAUGAACUAUGGACAUAGGCCUAUGGUAUCCUAAGGGUGAUAACUUUAAAUUAAUUGGAUACUCGGAUGUCGACUUUGCCGGUUGUAAAGUUGAGAGGAAAAGCACUAAUGACACUUGUCAUUUCCUAGGACACUCACUUGUUUCGUGGCAUAGUAAGAAGCAAAAUUCGGUAGCCUUGUCUACGGCGGAAGCCGAAUACAUAGCAACCGGUUUAUGUUGUGCACAAAUCAUUUGGAUGAAACAAACACUUAGUAAUUUCAAUUUGAUUUUUGAGCAUGUUCCUAUAAAAUGUGAUAACACUAGUGCCAUAAAUAUUUCAAAGAAUCCGGUACAACACUCUAGGACUAAGCAUAUAGAGAUAAGACAUCAUUUUCUUAGAGACCAUGCACAAAAGAGUGACAUUACACUUGAAUUUGUAAGCACAAAAGAUCAACUUGCCGAUAUUUUUACAAAACCCCUAAGUGAAGAGCAAUUUGUUGAUAUUAGAAGACAACUAGGGGUGAUUUCUUUAUGAUAAAAUGAUUGCUUGAUGAAUUCUUGUUGAUAUUGCUCUUGAUAUACCCUAUGAUUGCGUGAAAUUUAUAUCAUAUGCAUCAUAUAGAAAUAAUCAUAGGAAAAAUGUCAAAAUUUGACCAAAAAUCAAAAUUCCUGUGGCAUUGGACAUAAAAAAUUGGGGAUUUCAACUGAAAAUGGCAAGAGGAGGAUCACGAGACAAGAAAAUGCAAGAAAAUUUGGAAAAAUUGAUCGUUGACCAUGCCGUUGACCGUUGACCGUUAACUAGGCGAUCGACCGGUUGAGGAACCGGUUGACCGGUUCGUCGGGGCUAAGAAUUUAAAACGCCCCCCGCACGCUUCAUUUCUCCCAUUUUCUCCUUCAGAGCUUGCCGUCCCUUCACAUCCCUGCUUCCAAAAGACUUUUUGGCCAGAUUUCGGACCGAUUGCAGGUUGAGGACUUGAUUUUGGGACAGAUUUGAGCUAGGGUUUUGGUUUGGAACCCAGGGUUUCACCUCUUGAGAGCGUCUCCUCUUUGCACCACGCAUCUCAAGGCUGUUCAGCUCCAUCUCCGAGCGUCUAGGGUUUCGGGUUGGUGGUUGCUUUUCCCUCUUUGCUUUCCUUCUCUCUUUGGACUUUUUUUUUCCUCUUUUGUUUCAUAGGAUGGCACUACGGAGAGAGACGGGCACUUCCAGGGCUUAGAGCAAGCGCCCUGCUGAACCAUCUCAGCCCGAGUAGACGGAGGCUCGUCAAAAGGCGAGGUUUGACACGACACUCUUCAGUUCGAAUGAAGACUAUCAGCGCUACAAGAAAAAAUUUGCUCAGAGGAAAGUCGUCCCAAGGAGAAGUGAAUUUCUCCCAACUUCAACACUUCGGGUUUGAGGGACUAUUCGGACGGAUGGGAUGACUGCCCGUAGUGACGAUCUCUGAGCCGAUCUUCCCGACUCUGGUACGAGCUUUCUAUUCUCGGGCGACCUACGGGCUUGGAGGACCCGUAUUAUCCACUAUGAGAGGCGUUGAGAUCCGCUUGAGUCCCGAGAGCAUCUGUCGUAUUCUCGACAUCCCUUCGAUUGGACUCCGUGUUUAUGAGGCCAAGACAUGGCCCACUGUGCCGGGAUUUGAGCCUAGAGAGGCUGUUCAGAGGUUGUGCGGACUUGCCGAUCCCUAGGGGAUGGGCAAACCAUCAGCUCACAGCUUGACAGUGACUAGCCGAGUCCUUCACCAUAUGAUCUGUUCGAUUCUCUUGCCACGUGGAGGACAUCGAGAUGAGGUCUCCUACCUCGAGGCUUUCAUUGUGGACUCGAUCCUCACCGGGAGACGGAUUCAUGUUGGAUACCUUAUGAUGAUGCAUAUGAUCUCUUGUGUUGAGAGCUUGACACGAGUACUCUCCUACGACCACUUCUUUACCCGUGUUGAGCAGAGAGACAGAUUUUAAGGCCCCCACCACCUAUGACACGUAUGAUGAGCAGUCUCUGGGGCGCAUGAAGUUCGAGAAGGCACCCGAUGGCUCCUGGGUUAGGAAAGCCGAGCGACAGGCCCGGGGACAUGAUCAGAUACACCCCGGAGUAGAGGAGGAGGUCGAGAUCAGAGAGAUGGAGGAUGGGUUGGACCUUCAGAGAUACUUUGAGUAGAGAGGGCCCGAACUUGACAUUCCGCCUCCACAUCAGUCAGAGGGCAUUCAUGUUGAGGCUACCUUCUUCGAGCCUAUGAUGAUUGAGUCGUCUUUCCCAGCAGGCCCUUCAUCUCAGCCAUCAUUUACCGAGCUACCAUCUCAGGCACCUCAUGUUCCUGAUCAUGCGCCUUUGAUGGAUCUCUCCGCGUAGAUUAGUUCUCUUGGGACUCGUAUGGAGGAGCUUGCCCUAGUCCAUGACUCCUGCUUCUACUCUAUGGAAGAGCAUCUCGAUUAGUAUCAGACUAGAGUCACCUCUCGGUUUGAUCACUUCCAGCAACGAUUUGAGCGCAUAGAGGAGCGUAUGGAUCAGCAGCAGGCUACCUUCGACCAUCUCGAGCAGCGCAUGAAUCGUAUUGAGAGCCGUUAGGCAAGUCAGCAUGAGGAGAUGAUAACAUAUCUCUGCUCUGUGUUUCCUCCUCCACCCCCUCAACCUUGAGACUAUCUAGACAUCCUCCUUCAUUUCUUUUUUAUGUUGCCAAAGGGGGAGAUAUUUAUAGGAUCUAGGAUCUAUAGGAUCUAGGAGACUUUCAUGCAUGUCACAUGUUAUCAUUGUCAUAUCUAUCUUAUUAUACAUGUGAGAUUUCCUUAUAUAUAUGACAUGAUAUUUUUAUCCAUUGAUUUUUCGUGUUUUACAUUGCUUAUCGUUUGAUUGAUCUAUGAUUGGUUUGAGGGGGAGAUUUCUUUCUUUCCUAGAUAACCAAGGUUUGUCAUCAUAAAAAAGGGGGAGAUUGUUAGCCCAAGGGUUCUCCUAAUCGGGUUUUGAUGAUAACAAGUCAUGGUUAAGUAACUAAUUGGUUUAAUGCUUAAGAAUCUCAGGUAUAAACUCGAAAAUUCAUCAAAUGACCAAAUAGAUACAAGAUCGAGAUGCUUGGAAGACUUGAGAUCAUAUGAAACUAAUGUAAGAUGAAUGCAUGAGUGCACUUAGGAUUUUCAUACGUUUUCAUGCAUCUUAGAAAACUCGGUUUAUUCUUUAAAACGUCGACUUCAUUAAAACCCGAGUUUUUAACUAAUUUACCUUAGGCAAAAUGUUUCAAAAUUGGCUUAAUAAUUUACCUAAAGACCUUGCCUAAGUGUUAGAAAAGAAAGGAAUCAAAAAAUAGGUUUCUCGGGGCCAAAAAGGCUCAACCGGUCGAGGCUAUGGUCAAUCGGUCAACCAGUUAAGGAACCGGUCGACCGGUUUAGGUCGUCCGGUCGAGGACCAAUCGAGGAAGGUUAAAAAAAUUCUCUCUCUCCCAGUAGCCUUCUCUUCCUGGUCGAGGUGUUUCCUUUACCGGUUGAGGUCUGGUCGAGGUCCGAUUAAGGCAACGGUAACCUGUCAUGCAUUAAAUGCUCCAACGGCUAGUGAACCGGUCGACCCCUAGCUCAAUCGGACGAGGUUGCCUUUUGCUGAUUUUGACUCUCGAGCUUAGAAACCUAUAAAUUGAGAGCUCCACUUCAUUUAUUGAUAAGAGAACACUUACAUUCAAAGCCCACCUACCUUUUCUUGAUAAAAAAGCUCUCAUUUCUUUCAUAAGUGUAUUAAAUCACCACUUGCAUAUCCUCUAGUGCACUCUUGUUGUCAUCCUAGUUUUGCCUUGUAUUUGAGCCAUCUUUAAGCUAGGUUGAGUGAGUAUAUUUUGUAACAAUCUGAGUGUUAAAGCCUUCAAGAGGGUUGAAUCUUGAAGAGGUUGUGUAAGAGCACAUUAGAGCCGGAAUCCAAGUGUAAUAAGAUUGGAAGCUUGGUUGAAGCUUCAAGUUAAUGGAACCCUCACUCGGUUAGGAGGUUGAGGAGAGUGGACGUAGGCAAGGAAGUGCCGAACCACUAUAAACCCAAGUUUGAAUUCUCUCAACUCUAUCUCUUUACUUUGCUUAUAUUUUGUUUAAUUUUGUUGUGAUUGAAAAGAUUUUAAAAGCCCAAUUCACCCCCCCUCCCCUUUUGGGUGUUUUUCUUAACUAAACAUAGCCUUUGUUUUCUCACUUUUGAAAUAUUCCUUUAUAUUUUCUUUAUUUUUUUUUCAUAAAAUCUAAAACUUUAUUUCAAUGUCCUUAAUGUUUUAGUUGUUUAAUUUUAAAUAUUUUUAUAAUUAAUAUUAAAAAUUACUUAAACAUUACAAUUUAUAGAGUGUGACUAUCGUAUAUUAUUUGAGUUAAUUUCGCUAAUAUCCUUUAAUGUUUAGUAUAAAUAUAUUAAGCCAACAUCAAUUUUCAAAUUUCAUCUAUUAACACUCCUACAAAUAUAUUUGAUAUAUCAAAUUUCCUUUUUAGAAAAUUGUUAAAUAUACAUGUUUAAAAUCUUUUUACCUAAAAUUUCUUUAAAAACUAAAUUUUAUAAAUAUAAUAAAUUUAUAAGAAUACUAAUUAAUGAAAUUUAAAUCAAUAAUAAAUAAAUGUAUUUACAUCAAACCUCUUUUGGUUAUACCACUGGCUAUCCUAAUUGAGAAAACUACUUCUAACUUUCAAAAUCUACAAGAGUAUGUGAUUGAUCUCAUCUUCAGAAUGAAAGAUACUAAGUCUCUUGAGUGGUUGAAAAAUAGAUUUGUUAGAUUCCUCCAAUUAAUGGAAAUUUCAAAUUAAAUUUUAAUGAUUCAAGGGUGGAGAAUAGUAAGUGCAUCAUGAUGGGUUAUUAGAGAUUCUAAUGGUAUAAUAAAAAUAGUUGCAAGUAGGCAUAUGAACAAUGCGUCAAUAAUUACUACAUAAUGUAUGACUUUUAGAAAUGAUGCGUUAGUUGUUAAGAACAAUGAGUUCUUAAAUCUAAAGACAGAAGGUGAUUUCAUAAAAGUAGUAACAAAUAGUUAUAACAAGAAGAGUAGUAUUCCUAACUCUAUUAUAUUGUUAAUAUAAGAUAUUUGGAAGAUAAUUCAAGACCUUAAUGUUUUUAUUUGUGGUUAUAUUUAUAGAAAAAAAAAUAAAACAAUAGAUUAUUUAGUUAAAAAAAAGUAUUUGUAAUUUAGAGUUUUUCACUUGGAGGUCAGAUUUUUUUAUAGAUGUUAUGAAGUUUGGCUUUGAAGAUUGAUUUUCACAGGAGACACUAAUGACUUGUUUGGGUGUUGAAAUUUAGGGUUUUUGAUUGAUUUUUGGACAUCGAGGAUCAUAGAAAAUUGACUGAUCUUCAACAAAAGCUAUUAAUUAGAGUAUUGAUCAUAGGAUCAUAGACAAGUGAUAUCAAACCUUUGAAUAGCCCCAAACUACACAUUAUUUCCAUCAGUAACUAAUAACAUGCCCAUUUUCAGAUCUUAGAACCCAAACAAAAUACUAGUCUUAUUUCAAC
rnacentral:lncRNA from 1 species